rnacentral:lncRNA from 1 species
CGGGCUGCAGGUUUGAGAGCCGCUCUGGAUGGGCUCGCUAGAGUCGUUGUUGUGGAAGCCGUGCAUUCACAGUGCAACAGUCAGCACAUUGAAAAUACCAAUAGGAAUACAAACCAAAGUCACAUUUACUGAUUUAAUUGUAUUGCAUUCAAUUGUAUCCAGGAAACAGCCUCCAACCAUGGACCUGCACGGCGGUCGCCGGCUCGGAGCGCGGCCGCCCGCGGAGAAUGCCAGUCCGCCGGUGUGCUGACCGGCUCGGCUGUCUGUGCCUCCGGUGACCCCGGACACCGCCUCNUGCGCGCCGCCCGCGCGCCGCCUGCACUCCCAGCCGUUCCCAGGCCCCGGCCACGCUGCUUGCUGGAGGCGGCGGCGGGCCGGGGCCGGGGCCCGGCAUGGAUGGCCGAGAC